UACAGAGGGUGCGAGCGUUAAUCGGAUUUACUGGGCGUAAAGAGCGUGUAGGUGGCCACGCAGGUCCGUUGUGAAAACUGGAGGCUCAACCUUCAGACGUCGACGGAAACCGUGUGGCUAGAGUCCGGAAGAGGAGAGUGGAAUUCCUGGUGUAGCGGUGAAAUGCGCAGAUAUCAGGAAGAACACCAAUGGCGAAGGCAGCUCUCUGGGACGGUACUGACGCUGAGACGCGAAAGCGUGGGGAGCGAACAGG
rnacentral:rRNA from 1 species